CUCAUUCUUUCUUUCUUUCUUCUUCAAGAAACAAGAAAAGAAUGAAAACACGAACAACACACAUCGUGGAAUUCAAUGGUGUUGGGUUUGUCGCACAAGGAUUCAAGAAACUGCGAUGCUCUCUAUAUUUGCCGAUAAUUUCUUCCGUUUGCUACGGUAAUUUUUUCAACUUUCUCUCCACAUGUUGAUUCAUUCAGAUACCCAUUUUCGAAAUUCAAUCUUCUGCUUCAUAAAAACAAAACAAAAGAAACCUUAAUUGUUCUUUCUGUUUGAACAUUCAAUUUUAUGCUUGAAAAAAGGUACAAACUUUACCCAUUUUUUUUCUCAUUCUUGAGAAAAACAAAAGAACCCUAAUUCUGCAAAAGGUGUUCUGUUCUGUCCCAAAAGAAUCUUAAAAGACAGUUUUUUGUUUGUCACAAUAAGCUGAGUUUUACUUGUUAUUGGAAUUUUCAUUCUGGUUUAUGAUCGAUACAUGUUGAGAACCUAUAAGAAUGUGAAUCAUUGUGUGACGGAAUCUUUAUUCAUUAUCUGAAAAAGGGGUGGAGUAUAUUGCCCUAGUGACCCUAAAUUUGACGGUUGGAAUCGAUGAAUAUACUUUGUUUUGUAACGGAUGGAUAAUAGCUGCCUCAAUUACCAUAGAGUAAAAUGUUGGAUGGAUUUAAUGACCCUUAGUCCUGAAUGUGAAAGGUAGUUGUUGCCUUAAUUGCUAUUCAAACAAUUGUCUCUAUCGUGUCCGCUUUUCGAUUAAACAAAAUUAUGAAUUUUUAUUCGUAAUAUUGCAUGAAUGGGUAUAUACUCUGCUUUGAUGACCCUUAGUCCCUAAAUUCGAUUCUGCAACUGCAUGAAUGGGUAUAUAUCAGAAGACAGUUUUUUGUUUGUCACAAUAAGCCGAGUUUCACUCAUUUUUGGAAUUUUCAUUCUAACAUAUUUGCCCCAUCUGGUUUAUAAUCGAUACAUGUUGGGAAUGAUGGCGGGUUUCCAAUUUUAAAGGGUAUAAAAACCCUAUACGAAUGUGAAUCAUUGUGUGACGGAAUCUUUUUCAUUAUCUAAAAAAGGGGUGGAGUAUAUUGCCCUAGUGACCCUAAAUUUGAUCGUCGGAAUCGAUGAAUAUACUUUGUUUUGUAAAUUUUGUAACGGAUGGAUUAUGGCUGCCUCAAUGACCAUAGAGUGAAAUGUUGGAUGGUCUUAAUGAACCUAAUCCCUCAAUGUGAAAGGUAGUUGUUGCCUUAAUUGCUACUCGAGCAAUUGUCUCUAUCGGUGUCCGCUUUUCGAUUGAAUAAUUAAGAAUUUUUAUUCAUAAUAAUGCAUGAAUGAAUGGGUAUAUAUAUUAUACUUUGAUGACCCUUAGUCCCUUAAUUCGAUUUUGCUUCAUAAAAACAAAACAAAAGAACGUUAAUUGAGCAAAGGUGUUCUUUCUGUCCCAUGACCCUUUUGUUUGUUACUGUAAAUUUUGAAACUUUCAUUUCAAUAUAUUUGCAUCCCAGAAUUAAUACUCUCUCUGCUACCACGUACUAUCAAGACCAUUAUUCUUCCUACUUACAAGAAUUGUAGUCUGAUGUUUUAGUAAACACUGGAAAUUAUUAGCAGUUGCACAAUUGCAUUUUCAUUUCUGAUAUUGUAAGCUUAUUCUUUUUCUGAGGUUCCUUUUUCUUGGUGGGGGUGUGGGGGGAUUCCAUAAAAUGUGAAGGUUCCUUCAUUUGCAGAUGAUGUGGCUAUGGCUCUAGUUGAAGAGGAACUUGGUCAGCCAUGGCAAAAUGGCCAAAAGAACAUUAAUUGAUCAAAGGUGUUCUUUCUGUUUGAACAUUCAAUUUUAUGCUUGAAAAAAGGUACAAACUUUACCCAUUUUAUUCUCAUUCUUGAUCAUUCAAUCUUCUGCUUGAGAAAAACAAAAGAACCCUAAUUCUGCAAAAGGUGUUCUGUUCUGUCCCAAAAGAAUCUUAAAAGACAGUUUUUUGUUUGUCACAUUAAGCUGAGUUUCACUCGGUUUAUAAUCGAUACUUGUUAGGAACGAUGGUGGGUUUCCAAUUUUAAAGGGUAUAAAAACCCUAUAAGAAUGUGAAUCAUUGUGUGACGGAAUCUUUAUUCAUUAUCUGAAAAAAGGGUGGAGUAUAUUGCCCUAGUGACCCUAAAUUUGACGGUUGGAAUCGAUGAAUAUACUUUGUUUUGUAAAUUUUGUAACGGAUGGAUCAUAGAUGCCUCAAUUAACAUAGAGUAAAAUGUUGGAUGGAUUUAAUGACCCUUAGUCCCUGAAUGUGAAAGGUAGUUGUUGCCUUAAUUGCUACUCAAGCAAUUGUCUCUAUCGGUGUCCGCUUUUCGAUUAAAAAAUUAUGAAUUUUUAUUCGUAAUAAUGCAUGAACGGGUAUAUAUUCUGCUUUGAUGACCCUUAGUCCCUAAAUUCGAUUCUGCGACUGCAAUCAGAAGUGAUUUUGCUCGAAAAAGAGGUACAACUUUACCCAUUUUUCUCAUUCUUGAUCAUUCAAGAACAUUCAAUCUUCUGCUUGAGAAAAACAAAACAACCUUAAUUCUGCAAAAGGUGUUCUAUUUUGUCCCAAAAGAAUCUUAAAUGUUGGAUGGAUUUAAUGACCCUUAGUCCCUGAAUGUGAAAGGUAGUUGUUGCCUUAAUUGCUAGCAAUUGUUUCUAUCGUUGUCCGCUUUUCGAUUAAAAAAAUUAUGAAUUUUUAUUCAUAAUAAUGCAUGAAUGGGUAUAUAUUAUGCUUUGAUGACCCUUAGUCCCUAAGUUCAAUUAAAUUUUGUUACAGAUGGAUCAUGGAUGCCUCAAUGACCAUAAAGUGAAUUGUCGAUGGUCUUAAUGACCCUAGUCCCUGAAUGUGAGAGAUAGUUGUUGCCUUAAUUGCUACUCAAGCAAUUGUCUCUAUCGUUGUCCACUUUUCGAUUAAAAAAAUUAUGAAUUUUUAUUCAUAAUAAUGCAUGAAUGGGUAUAUAUUCUGCUUUGAUGACCCUUAGUCCCUAAGUUCGAUUAAAUUUUGUUACGGAUGGAUCAUGGAUGCCUCAAUGACCGUAGAGUGAAUUCUUUGUGUUUGAUUAGUCUACUAUAAUAAGAGUUUCAAAGGAAUUCUAAGGAACAAAGUACAAAGAAACGAACUCUUUGGAGUAUAAACUAUUUCUUAUAAUAUCGAUCUGGUAUGUAUGAGUGCAUCGCGUCCUAUAGGCUUUGCACAAAGAUAUUGUGAACCCCUUGUUUCAUUGAGGGAUGGUGACUUUGGAAGCAAGGCUGUGGGGCAUGCCAAUUUUUUUUUACUUAAAGUUGCUGCUUUAUAGACUGUAAGGAGGUUCUCCAAUAGUAGAUGCCCAUGUGUGUGGCAAGGUCUGCAGAGUCUACAAAUCCUUGUCCUACCACAAUUUAAAUGGAUUCAGAGGUGGGUUGCCUUCAGGGGUUUGGUCAAAAGCAUGCAGGUACUAUCAAGACCAUUAUUCGUCCUUUCCAUUGCAACAAUCUUUACUGAUGAACUGGAGUGUAGUGAUGGAACCUCUGCAGAAAUAUCUCCGGUGCAGGAUAAUAUGAAUAUUAGAAGGCAUUGCGUCCUUGUGUUUGAUUAGCCUACUGAUAAGGGUUUCAAAGGAAUUCUCUAAGGAAGACACGAAUCAACUGAAGCAAAGUACAAAGAAACCAACUCUUUGGAGUCUAAACUGUUUCUUAUAAUAUCUAUUUGGUAUAUAUGGCAUUAUGGCCAUGAGGUUGUAUCUGUUAGUCUUUUUUACUGGAAAUCUAUUGUGAAAUCUGAUAAAAUUUGGUUGGUGUUGGUAUAAGAAUCAGAUAGCACUAUAUUUGUGUUGAUAAUUAUAAAUGUAAGUCUUGGAUUUAGUAACUGAAAAAGGUAGAACCUUACCCAUUUUUAUCAUUCUUGAUCAUUCAAUAUAAUUCAAUCUUCUGCUUGAUAAAUACAAAACCUUUUAUUGGUGAACAUAGCGGUGUGCAGGUUCAGCAUGCUAAUAAGGUGGUUAAUUCCCAAGUUUCAACGGUGAUUUUGAAACCGAAAUCUCAUGCAACUGUUAGUGUUGAAACUUGAAAGCUUGUUGGUGUUGAUGUGGCUUCAUGCACGAACUAGAGCAACUGUCUAUCCCAAAUUUGAAAAUGAGGAUGAUGCCUUAAUGUGAAAGCUAGUAGAUGAGAAGGAAUUCUCAGGAUAUGAAUUCAAAUAUUGUGUUCUAGAGUGGACUGUUGGGCUGGCCCAAGCCCAGUACCACCUCCUCAACCAUACAAGCCUCACAUCAUUACUUAUGAAGGUAUGUCUCAUUCUAAACCUUUCUGGUUUUCUCUAACUCAAAAGACAAAAAAAUAUUACUCGAAGGAAGGAUAAAUUCACUUUUAAAUUAGAUAAAAGUCUUGAAUGAUUAAUUAACCCGGAUAUUGGGCCGAGGCCCUUGGUCCAAUAAAGUAUGAAAGCCCAUGAUGAGGUAGCCGUUAUAUUAAAGCACAUGCAUUCUUCACAUGUCUAUGUUAUGCAUCUUCUAUCUUACACAAUGUAUUUGGUUUGGUUGUCUGAUUCUUUUUUCUUAAGUAAAGAAUGGACACAUUGUGGAAUUUGUGUUGGGUGAUAAAUACUAUAGUUUCUUGAUAAAACCUCAAUGAAUGUUGGUUGGAUCACUCAAUCAGCUUUUCACAUGUUUGCAUUGAUUCAUGUCGAGACACCCAUUUUCUCAUUCUUGACUAUUCAACAAUGUUCAAUCUUCUGCAUAAUAAAAACUAAAGAACCUUAAUAAUUGAAUUGAGCAUGUGUUAUGUUCCAAGACCCUGCAUGGUACCAAUAUUUUGAAAGAUUAACUUUUUCCUUUGCUACGGUGAUUUUGGAACUUUCAUUCCAAUAUAUUUUCAUUUUUGAUUAGUCACGACCAUUCAAUCUUCUGCUAGAAAAAAGGUUUAACCUUGCCCGUUUUUCUCAUUCUUGAUUACUGAAGAACCUUAAUUGAGCAAAUUUGCUUUGUCUCAAGACCCAGUCUGGUACCAACAUUUUGAAAGAUGAUUUUUUUUUUCAUUUGCUAAAGUAAUUUUUGGUUUUCAUUCCAACAUAUUGGUUUGCGGUUGAUACCUGUUGUGAUACCGAUUUUUAAUUCUUGAUAAUUCAAGAACAUUCAAUCUUUUACUUAAAAAAUUAAUUGAGGAAAUGUACUCUGCCCCCACACCCCCCCCCCACCCCAAAAAAAAAAAAAAACCUUCGAUCUUCUGCUUAUUGGAAUUUUUGUUCCUACAUAUUUGUCCCGUUUAGUUAUAAUCAGCAUAUGCCUAUUUCUCAUUCUUGAUUAUUCAAGAACUUUCAAUCUUCUGUUUCAAGAAAAAGUUAAACUUCAAUUUUGUAAAUCAAAAUUUAGCUGGGUAUACAAUCCUAUAAGACUAUAAAUCAGUGAGAUGAAAUCUUUUUUCAUUAUCCGAAAAACGGGUGGAGUAUAUGAGCCUAGUAACCCCAAGUAUGAUUGUUGGAAUUGAUGGAAAUACUUUGUAAAAUGCAUCAUGAACUCUUUAUUCACAAUGUGCAAGUUGGAUGAUGUCCUUCAAUGCAAUUUUUAUAUGAACCAAUUCUUCCAACGUUUCUAUUCUUUGUACAAGUCUUUCAAAAAGGUUGAGACUCUUAAAUUGAGGUAAGUAAAAAAAAAAAUACUCUCAAUAUAUUCUAAUAAAUUUUAUGUCUUUAUAUUGUGCGACGUAAGUAAUUGAUGUUUUAGGAUGUACCCAUGAAAACAUCUCAAGAAACUGAGAAAGACAUAAGACUGGGUUUGCCUACAAAUUGAUACCUGCCGAAAGAUAUAUGUCUUUCUCUAACCACUCACAUUGGAAGAUAGCUUCUGGUAGGCGGAACCUAGAUUUCUGAAUCGCAUCUUCUAUAACACCCCAUAUUACAUUGUUCGGAAUAUCAUAGGUUCAUUAGUAAUUGGUAUUGAGUACAUUAAAAUUACAAGCCAAAAUACUUCGAAUUACAACAUACUUCUUCAAAUAAGCAAAUAGUUCAUCACACGGUCUAAUACAAGAAAGGAAACAAGACUAAAUAACAUGACGGAAAUAGAAUAAUAGAUCUCCGAUUCUUCGAAGUCACUACUCCAUAGCCUUCUUACCCUUGGAUACCUACUUAUCUGGAAAAAAAGGAAAGUCGUGGGGUGAGGCUACUAAGUCUCAACGAGUUCCUACUACCUAACUAUUGUUGUGAAGCAUUAAGAAUGUUUUCCUUCAACCAUUUAGGGUUACAACAAUCCGACUCAAUGGAUGAAAAGGUAAAUCCUAUCAUCCCUUAUCUAUGUUUAGUUUUUUUAUUUGUCUGUGUCAUAAACUAGUAGUACUUAAUGAAUCUAUGGAAGUUUGAUUUUUCAGUUAAGCACCAACUUGGAAGAUUUGGCAAUAAAUGGCAUGGAUGCCUUUAGAAUGUUAAAUGGUUACUGUCAAGAAAAUAUCUUCCUAUAAACUAGAACUUCUUCGUUUGCAAUGCUUUGAUGAAACUCCGCCUAUUUUUCUGAAUGAUUUCCAUGCAGUAUUUUGUAACCUAAUAACCCUUACAGUGCGUAAUAGUUCUUUUGAAAUAUUAUUCCCCGCUAAAGGAUCUACUGGAAACCGCAACAAGAAAAUUUCUUUGCAAAUAAAACAUUUGAGGCUUUACGAUUUGGAAAAUAUCAAGUAUAUUUUUCAUGUAGACUU